rnacentral:misc_RNA from 1 species
CGCUUGCUAUGGGGAGGAAGAAUAUCACACAAGGCAGGAGAAGCCUUUAUUUUGUCCCCCUCGCUCUCUCUUUGCCAUUUUCCACCUACUUCAGCAGCCAAUGUCGUACUCCUCCACAGCAACGCCCGGCGGCACGGCGGCAACGGCAACAGCGGGUAGCACCAAAUGCGGCAAAAACAAGGCUGGCGGCUCGUUGGCCGCCGCUGCGUACGAAAAGAGUCAGUACGACAUCACCAACGUCACCUGGGGGACUCUAGAGUCUCGCUUUGACGAGCUCGUCGCGCUCAUGAACACCCCCAUCACUGGCGUCAACGCGCUCACGGUGCGCGCCACGAAUCGACAGCGGAUCGGCAGUGCGAUCGCGGCCCUCCUCGAUAAGGCUCAAGAGGAGUGUCGACAGCUUCUGCUGGAUGGGGACGCUGAGGCGGCCGAGAAGGCGGGUGUGCUCGUGUUGCGACUGCGGGAGAAGUUCUACAAGCCGAAUCACGUAGAGCUGAUACCGGCCUAUCUGCACCUUUCCCGCACAAAGCAGUUUCUGAAGCGAUAUGGAGAUGCAGAGGACAUGCUUUCGCUUGCGCAGUAUAUUAUGCUGAAGCAUCCCGACGAGGUCACGCUCACCAUGAAGGCCGACGUGCACCAAGCAUUCGGGCUCCUUUAUGCGGCGGACAGCAAGCUGGAGGCAGCGGUGCAGCAGCUCAGCCGAGCAACCUACUAUCUCUCUCUACUGCACGGGGCGCGGCACGUUCUCACUACAUUCAGCUACUUUGACCUCGGCAACGUGAUGGCCUCGAAGGCCAGCAUGGAGAGUGCAAUGGCGCUCUACGACGCUGUGAAGGAGAUUUGGUAUGCUCACUUGGUGAAAGCGUUGGCGGACGUUGUUGCGCGCCGCGAGGACAUGCAGGUGCAGCUGAAGUACAGCGAGAACACGCCGGCGCAGGAGCUGCGACAAGUUUGCUACGCCACAGCGCACGCUUUCGGUCGCGAGAACUUGGCGGAUGCAUCCAAGAUGUUGCAUGGCAUCGCCCGCAUUCAGCAAAAGCGCUUCCAGAGCGCCCACCCCAGCACCGUGCGGGCAGAGUUCAUUCUGGGGCUUUUUCUUCUCUGGACAGACAAUGAGCCGGAGGCACAGGGGCACCUGGCGAAUGCCCGUGUCGCCUCGCAGCACUUCUAUGGCCCACGUCAUCCAGUUGUGCAAGAGAUCGAAGACUGGUGUGCGAAAUUCGACCUGAGCUACGAGAAUACGGAAGACGAGCUUGCCAAAGGUCAAGAGGCGUCCGCUCUGGACACAGCGGCGACAACGCACGACGACGAAGCUGAAGCGCCACAUAUAUUGUGAAGCACUGCAGCGAAAAGCCGUCUCUGAGACCGUACCUGCUUUCUUUUUACUGGUAUGUGUCGUAGGUGCUGCUGGUCCUUCGCCCCCACCCCUGUGCUGGUGUGCAGCUCUGCGACACCCGUACGUCAUCGCUCAGCUUACCGCCGCCCAGCGCUUCACAGCAACUUCCACCAUGCACUUCUGCUGCCGAUCCUUGCAUCCUCCGCCCAAGAGAUUGCUUGCUCUCUUGUGGCGUGUAUGUGUGUGCGUAUGUGUGCUGGCGUUAGGAAGGCUCUGUUUUCCCUGUUUUUCUCCCUUCGAUGUGACAUACUCGCAUAAGAGCGACUCGCUUAUCACGGAAUCGCCACCGUUGCUGCCGCCAUUGCGGCCUUUCUUCAGAGCGUUUUCUCGGCGAGGCGACGCCCUAUGCAUACAGGCAGAGCAAUAAAAAAAACGCAAGCGCGGAAGCCUGCUGCUUAGCGAGGGGUGAUUAAACGGUAACAACGCCUUGGGAUGCCUGUUGAAGCCAGAAACCACGUGAAACGGUGAGAUGGCGGUAUUGAGGUGGACCAGAGACAGAGAGAGAAGAUGCGGCCAAGGUAUGGCAAACACCACGACGGCCGACUGCGUUGCACUAUUGGGCUUUACCACGGUCACCUUUCCUUUGUUGCCUUUGGUGCACAGCUCCGACUCGCUUUCCCUUUCGAGCCCCUUCACAU